rnacentral:rRNA from 1 species
AUUGAACGCUGGCGGCAUGCCUUACACAUGCAAGUCGAACGGUAACAGGUUAAGCUGACGAGUGGCGAACGGGUGAGUAAUGUAUCGGAACGUGCCCAGUCGUGGGGGAUACCUGAUCGAAGGGGCAGCAAAUCCCCAAUUCGACUGAAGGGGGAAACGGGGGAAUGGCAGCACCUCGCGCAAUUGAACCGGCCGAUAUCGGAUUAGGUCGUUGGCGAGUGAAAGGCUCACCAAGCCAACGACCUGUAGCUGGUCUGAGAGGAAGGCCGGCCACACGGGUAGUGAGACACGGCCCAGACUCCUACGGGGGGCAGCGGUGGGGAAUUUUGGACAAUGGGCGCAAAGCGGAUCCAGCCAUGCCGCGGGCGGGAAGAAGGCCUUCGGGUUGGAAAGCGCUGUUGUCAGGGAGGAAGAGGUUCUGGCUAAUACCUGGGACUCAUGACGGUACCUGAAGAAUAAGCACCGGCUAACUACGUG